rnacentral:rRNA from 1 species
GAUUGCCUACGGGACGCAGCAGUGAGGAGUAUUGGUCAAUGGACGAGAGUCUGAACCAGCCAAGUAGCGUGAAGGAUGACUGCCCUAUGGGUUGUAAACUUCUUUUAUAUGGGAAUAAAACAGGGUAUGCAUACCCUCUUGUAUGUACCAUAUGAAUAAGGAUCGGCUAACUCCGUGCCAGCAGCCGCGGUAAUACGGAGGAUCCGAGCGUUAUCCGGAUUUAUUGGGUUUAAAGGGUGCGCAGGCGGAAGAUCAAGUCAGCGGUAAAAUUGAGAGGCUCAACCUCUUCGAGCCGUUGAAACUGG